rnacentral:rRNA from 1 species
UUUGAUACUGUAAGUCUGAAUGUGUAGAGGUACUGGAAUUGCUGGUGUAGUGGUGAAAUACGUAGAUAUCAGCAGGAACACGGAGGCGAAGGCGGGUAACUGGCCAACAUGACGCUGAGACCCGAAAGCGUGGGGAUCAAACAGGAUUAGAUACCCUGGUAGUCCACGCCGUAAACGAUGGAUACUUGUUGUUAGAGGUAUUGACCCCUCUAGUGACGUAGCUAACGCGUUAAGUAUCCCGCCUGGGGAGUACGGUCGCAAGAUUAAAACUCAAAGAAAUUGACGGGGGCCCGCACAAGCGGUGGAGCAUGUGGUUUAAUUCGAUGCAACGCGAAGAACCUUACCUGGGCUUGACAUGAACUGGAAGAGUGGCGGAGACGUCCUCGCCCGCAAGGGUCGGUUCACAGGUGCUGCAUGGCUGUCGUCAGCUCGUGUCGUGAGAUGUUGGGUUAAGUCCCGCAACGAGCGCAACCCUUACCUUUAGUUGCCAGCAUUUAGUUGGGCACUCUAAUGGGACUGCCUGCGUUAAGCAGGAGGAAGGUGGGGAUGACGUCAAGUCCUCAUGGCCCUUAUGUCCAGGGCUACACACGUGCUACAAUGGUGGUCACAGAGGGAAGCCAAACCGCAAGGUGGAGCAAAUCCCUUAAAAGCCAUCUAAGUUCAGAUUGGUCUCUGCAACUCGAGACCAUGAAGUUGGAAUCGCUAGUAAUCGCGGAUCAGAACGCCGCGGUGAAUACGUUCCCGGGCCUUGUACACACCGCCCGUCACACCAUGAAAGUUGGUCGUACCAGAAGUCGCUGUGCUAACCGCAAGGAGGUAGGCGCCCAAGGUAUGGUCGAUGAUUGGGGUGAAGUCGUAACAAGGUAACCAAGGG